AGAGUUUGAUCCUGGCUCAGGAUGAACGCUGGCGGCGUGCCUAAUACAUGCAAGUCGAGCGAACGGACGAGAAGCUUGCUUCUCUGAUGUUAGCGGCGGACGGGUGAGUAACACGUGGAUAACCUACCUAUAAGACUGGGAUAACUUCGGGAAACCGGAGCUAAUACCGGAUAAUAUUUUGAACCGCAUGGUUCAAAAGUGAAAGACGGUCUUGCUGUCACUUAUAGAUGGAUCCGCGCUGCAUUAGCUAGUUGGUAAGGUAACGGCUUACCAAGGCAACGAUGCAUAGCCGACCUGAGAGGGUGAUCGGCCACACUGGAACUGAGACACGGUCCAGACUCCUACGGGAGGCAGCAGUAGGGAAUCUUCCGCAAUGGGCGAAAGCCUGACGGAGCAACGCCGCGUGAGUGAUGAAGGUCUUCGGAUCGUAAAACUCUGUUAUUAGGGAAGAACAUAUGUGUAAGUAACUGUGCACAUCUUGACGGUACCUAAUCAGAAAGCCACGGCUAACUACGUGCCAGCAGCCGCGGUAAUACGUAGGUGGCAAGCGUUAUCCGGAAUUAUUGGGCGUAAAGCGCGCGUAGGCGGUUUUUUAAGUCUGAUGUGAAAGCCCACGGCUCAACCGUGGAGGGUCAUUGGAAACUGGAAAACUUGAGUGCAGAAGAGGAAAGUGGAAUUCCAUGUGUAGCGGUGAAAUGCGCAGAGAUAUGGAGGAACACCAGUGGCGAAGGCGACUUUCUGGUCUGUAACUGACGCUGAUGUGCGAAAGCGUGGGGAUCAAACAGGAUUAGAUACCCUGGUAGUCCACGCCGUAAACGAUGAGUGCUAAGUGUUAGGGGGUUUCCGCCCCUUAGUGCUGCAGCUAACGCAUUAAGCACUCCGCCUGGGGAGUACGACCGCAAGGUUGAAACUCAAAGGAAUUGACGGGGACCCGCACAAGCGGUGGAGCAUGUGGUUUAAUUCGAAGCAACGCGAAGAACCUUACCAAAUCUUGACAUCCUUUGACAACUCUAGAGAUAGAGCCUUCCUCUUCGGGGGACAAAGUGACAGGUGGUGCAUGGUUGUCGUCAGCUCGUGUCGUGAGAUGUUGGGUUAAGUCCCGCAACGAGCGCAACCCUUAAGCU
rnacentral:rRNA from 23 species